GGUAACAGAUACAAAAGUGAGACUGGGUAGGGAGGUAAAAAUAAGGACUAGAAAAAGGAGAAGAUACCAGAUCAAGACACACCACCUUCUCAUCCUGAAACCCUUCAUCACCGGGUGUCACAAAUCAGGUUCAGGAGCCUCUCAGACUUCGAUAUGGUUAUGAAAAUAUGUUUAAAAAACCCUGCAGUGACAAUUACAGACACAAGUAGCACAUCAUCACAGAGUAUAAGGAGAAGGAGGAAGAGGAAGGAGAGAGGAGAAGAAAAGUUACUAAAAAGAAGGCUCUCCUGCAUAGUGGAGGCUGGUCAACAGGUUCCACAACAGUCUAGAUUCCAUGUUUCUCAGGACCAAUCAACUGUUCUUAUUUAGGUUUUAUGUCCUACCAGCAGCACUUUGACAGUUAAUGCUAUUUCUCAGGCACCUCAUCCCUGACACGCUGUGCUCCCUGGCUGGUGAGGAUAAGGAACUAUUGUAAUACUCAUUGGCUUCCGGCAUCAGAUCACCCUGGAUAAGUGGACUAGCCAGGGUAUGGAUUUCCAAUGCUGAAUCAGAGCCAAUCUGGCGGCUCAGAAGACCAUCACAAUGCAGCAGUGCAUGGAGUCCAUUUACAGGCUGACUUCCCUCAUCUUACUGCUGGUUCUUCUCUGCUACCCACCCCACUUUCUUCACUGUAACCAAAUACACAGUUCAUCACGUACUAAAGAGUGGCUUAUGUGAAGUUUCAAGUGAUGGUCUGAUGGAUAGCAUGGUUAUUCACCCAAGUUGUUGACUUUCUCCUCCUGUUGAAGUCUCAAAGGGCAUGCUUCUACCACUGACCCUGAACUAGUGAGGUGUUCUCUGGCCAGAGGUGUGAACUCAAGGAAGCUAUGAAGACAUCAACAGGUGCCUCCUGAAUAACCUCACCUCAGUCCUUCAAGAAAGCCUUCCUCCGCACAAGUUUUUCAAAGUUUAAAAAAUGACCUCAAAUUUGAGGUAAAUAUUUUCAUCAUUGGCAUUUUCUUUCCUUUAACAAAUGACAGAGUAAGCAUAAAGAAAUAGAGAAGAAAAUAAAAAAAAAUUUAAACGACACUUUCUUGUAGUACUUUUUAGUUCACACAGCCUAAGUGGAAUUUUAACAAAAAACUAUUAUGAUCUCAAUCGGCUAAAUAAAAUGUGCCUUUCAACAGGCA